rnacentral:lncRNA from 1 species
GUGUCUUACUUAAAGCACAGUACAUAUGAAACCUUUACAUUCUCCUUGUUUCUCAACAAAUGAUAUGGCUGGUUGCUGCAGGAGAGAGGGUAACAAGCAACUUAACAAGAUUCGUGAUUAUUGUGUGGGUUUUUGUGGUGCUGGUGCUGACAUCAAGCUAUACAGCCAACCUAACAUCUACGUUAACAGUACAACAGCUCCAACCUACUGUAACAAACCUCAAUGAUCUCAUAACAAAUGGAGAACUAUACAGCCAACUUAACAUCUAUGUUAACAGUGCAACAGCUCCAACCUACUGUAACAAACCUCAAUGAUCUCAUAACAAAUGGAGAAUAUGUUGGGUACCAAGAAGGUUCCUUUGUCAAAGACGACUUGAAGCGCAUGAAUUUUGAUAGCUCCAAGUUUAAGAGUUAUAGUACAUUGGAAGAGUACA